CGUCCGAGCCAUGCGUCCAGGGCUCUGGGUUGGUGCGUGGGGUCGGCUGCUGGUGUAUACGGUGGUCGCCCCCCCCCAAAGGGUGUUGGUCGAUUAAGACAGCAGGAUUGUGGUCAUGGAAGUCGAAAUCCGCUAAGGAGUGUGUAACAACUCACCUGCCGAAUCAACUAGCCCCGAAAAUGGAUGGCGCUAAAGCGCGCGACCUAUACCCGGCCGUCGGGGCAAGUACCAAGCCUCGAUGAGUAGGAGGGCGCGGCGGUCGCUGCAAAACCCAGGGCGUGAGCCCGGGCGGAGCGGUCGUCGGUGCAGAUCUUGGU
rnacentral:rRNA from 1 species